UCGUUAACAAUCAUCGUUAAAAUCUGAAAGUUGAAUAAAUUUGUAAAAAGGAGAAGAGAAGGAUAUCUCUAUUUAGGGAAAAUGAAUUGAGUUUGUUCUAUCCUUCAACUUUCUUAACUUUGGUAUAUAAUGUGCUAAACAUAAAUACAAAUAUUCUGAAUAUGCUUUUAUAUAUUUGAAAUAUGUGUUUUCAAUCAUAAUGAUUUAAGAUGAGCUAUAAUGUGGAAGAUACAUAUCUCAAAUUAUGAUUUUGAAAGCCUCAAUUGAAAAUCCUAUAUAAUUCAGAAUCUGAUUUUGUAUAAAAGCUUAAACUCAAUAUGAUUUCUAAAUAAAAUCUUAAUGUAAGAAAAACAGAAUUUAUCUUGAUGCCUUUUGUUGAUUGCUCCGAUACGCAUC
rnacentral:lncRNA from 1 species